CAGGCUACAUCUGCAAUUUGAGCCACAACAGGGAGAUUUUCAGCAUGCCAAGCAACUUUCAAGGAAAAUGUGAGUGUUAACGCCUACAAGUACGCAGUCUGAGGAACCCCAGUGACAAAGAGGAUAACUAACUCGAUGGGGGUCAUUCGAGCUGUGGGACAGCGGGGAGCUGACCUGUUCUGGAAACUCAACACCAGGACAAGAACCAGUCUGGUCUCCCGGAGGGCGUGUGAGGGUACGUACACAUUGCGUAUUACAGUAUACAAGCCAAUCCAUCAUAACAUCUGUCAGUGCAGCUGCAGGGUAAACAGGAUUAUCAACAAGUACCCUCCCGUCAAUGACUACAGAGCUGUGAUAAAUCCUCGCGGCUCCCCAACACCUCGCUCGCUCUAUCUCUGCCUCUCACACACGCACACACACACACACUCCAUCAGUUUCUCAUCCAUCACACUGCUCUGUCAGAGUCCAGCCAAUUAGGUGAUAAGGCCUGACAUUACAGGGUGGACCUCUCUUUACUCUGUUUGUGCGAGUGUGACCCUGAUCUCUCUGAUGUUGUUAUCGAAAUGCCAAUGACAAAUUAACGCCUUCGCACUUGUGUAUUGCGGUCAACAGACACACACACACACACACACACAGACACAGACGUACUGGUCAACAUUUCUAAUCAGAGGAAAAUUAAUUACCUGAGUGGACAAACAAGGCGGCCCUCUUCAUCUUUGUCUGUUUUUCUUUUCUUCCUAUUUUGCUCAGAGUCUAGCUACAGUAGAAGAAAGUAGUAAUGGCAGAUGAGGAAUACAAACAGGGGGGAAAAAAAACAAACUGAAGGAUUUGAGGGUCUUUAAGGCGUGCAUGCUCAAACGCCAAAAUGAGCCAUAUCUAUAAACAUAUAGAUUCCCUAUUAUUGGAGCACAAAGCGGCUUCCCACUGCAGGUAGCGAGCAGGAUUAACCAGGAGAGAGGAGUGAAAGAGAAAAUGGAGUGAUAACGACAGGUUCAUAAAAAAUAAAUAAAUAAAGAACACGUGUGUUUGGUUGGCGAGCCGCAGCAUUAAAUGAAGACAUGGAGCCACAUUUCCAUAUGAACGAGGCACAGACACUCACAGUAUAUGCGAAGCAUGCACACAAACUAGAAAUACACUCUACAAACUCUCCACCCUCCACCUUACGCACUCCACCUUUCGCACACACACAGUCACCCACUUACCCACUCACUCACUCACUCGCUCCACCUUUCAAACACACUCACGCAGGCACGCACACACCCUCCACCCUCGACACACACCUUCCUCCCCACCCCUUCAUUAAUACUUUCCUCUCUAAAGCGAAGGAGAAAGCCCUCCAAUUAUAAGCGACUCCUCAGCAGACGGGCUCAGCGCUGCAUUUAUUAGGAGCUCAUUUGGCUAAGCAGGGCUAAACACAGCGCAUCGUGGAGAGGCGGGCGGCAGAGGGGGGCGGAAGAGGAAGAUGCACCCUCUCUCUCUAUGUCUCUGUGUGACAUUAAAGGGAACAUCCCUGUAUUCUGUCCUAAUCCAAACUGAUUUGAGAUGGCAUUGGGGGGUUUGAGAAGCAGCGCUGGAUUAUUUGUUUAUGGUGGGGGGGCCUGGAACGCCUCUGCUUCCCCAGAUUUACCAUCUUAUACCGUCUCGCGGCUCUUAAUCGCCUCUCUUCCCCCAAACACAACCCAUUUACAGUUCAAAGCGGCAGAGCCUAUAUCUAUCGCCGGCUAUAUUACGAUUAGUAUUAAUAUCAUCACCAUAUUCAAGGCUGAGAAGUCUCGGAGGGGAACGAGGGGAGGGGUGAUCACAACAAUACUGUUGCUGCCCAAAUAUGGCGGCUCGCUUUCUGAAAGCAUGACCUUAGCGAGGAGACGUCUCUCGCUUUAAUCAUAACUGCAGCUUUGCUUUGGUUUGGAGGGUUAGAGGUGUUACUCAGCACUUUCAGAGAUGGAUUUUUUCCCCCCCAUGUUUGAAAUUAGUCGGUUUCCUCUCCGCCUUUCAUUUUUGCAUCCAGGAGACCUUGAGGCAGAAAAAGUAUGGUAAAUAAUUUGAAAAGCAGGUGUCUGACAUUGUAACCUUGACAGUGACACCAACUUUUCUGACUGCAACAGCAGCAGUUUUCUAAAUACCACGCAGUUCAUUUUUUAUUAGUAUCUCAGGGUCACUUUACUGUAUGUGGAGUGCAGUUGUUGUUUUUCUUUUAAUCUGAAAACCAGAGAUAUACUUUAAUUUUUCUGCAGGUUAGCACAAUAUUGUACGAUAAUCACAGUGAUGGUCCACUGUUAUCACCCACCUUUAUACUGUAUAGUGGCAUUCACACUUCAGUACUUUAUUAUAACUAAUACAUAAGCAGGACUCCAUGGUCUAGCAUCAAUUUUGGGGGUUCUUUAUUGUGUUGAGUAAAUGACUGAACAAAUCUUUAACACUGAAUCCUCAAUCUAAACUAAUUAUGCUGAGUCAUCAUUAUCUCUCUUUACUGGUGAGGGAAAGUGUCUCUGUAAGCUAUGACGCUAUCUGAACACCCGAAACAAUCAUAAUGCGCUAACUUUAGGGCUGUAAGAAAAUAUCAAUACACAUGAGUAUCACGAUAUUAUGUUUUGUGAUACUGUAUUGAUUCUCCAAAACGCUGCAUCGAUUUCUAAUUAACCUCUUAAAAAUCCGACAGCCCGCCGG